rnacentral:tRNA from 1 species
GCUUUCGUGGUGUAACGGUAGCACACUUGACGCGCAUUCGAGAGGUCCAGGUUCGAGUCCCGGCGAGGGCA